rnacentral:rRNA from 1 species
GACGAACGCUGGCGGCAUGCCUAAUACAUGCAAGUCGAGCGAACAGAUGAAGUGCUUGCCCUUCUGACGUUAGCGGCGAACGGGUGAGUAACACGUAAGGAAUCUACCUAUAGGCGGGGGAUAACAUUCGGAAACGGGUGCUAAUACCGCAUAAUAUCUUCUUCCGCAUGGAAGAAGAUUGAAAGACGGCUCUGCUGUCACUUAUAGAUGACCUUGCGGUGCAUUAGUUAGUUGGUGGGGUAACGGCCUACCAAGACGAUGAUGCAUAGCCGACCUGAGAGGGUGAUCGGCCACAUUGGGACUGAGACACGGCCCAAACUCCUACGGGAGGCAGCAGUAGGGAAUCUUCCGCAAUGGGCGAAAGCCUGACGGAGCAAUGCCGCGUGAGUGAAGAAGGCCUUCGGGUCGUAAAACUCUGUUAUAAGAGAAGAACAAAUUGUAGAGUAACUGCUACAGUCUUGACGGUAUCUUAUCAGAAAGCCACGGCUAACUACGUG